UCGGGGGUACUCGAGUGGCGAACGGGUGAGUAACACGUGGGUGAUCUGCCCCUGACUUUGGGAUAAGCCUGGGAAACUGGGUCUAAUACCGGAUAUGACCAAUGGUUGCAUGACUGUUGGUGGAAAGCCUUGUGCGGUUGGGGAUGGGCCCGCGGCCUAUCAGCUUGUUGGUGGGGUAAUGGCCUACCAAGGCGACGACGGGUAGCCGACCUGAGAGGGUGAUCGGCCACACUGGGACUGAGACACGGCCCAGACUCCUACGGGAGGCAGCAGUGGGGAAUAUUGCACAAUGGGCGCAAGCCUGAUGCAGCGACGCCGCGUGAGGGAUGACGGCCUUCGGGUUGUAAACCUCUUUCACCAGGGACGAAGCUUUUGUGACGGUACCUGGAGAAGAAGCACCGGCCAACUACGUGCCAGCAGCCGCGGUAAUACGUAGGGUGCGAGCGUUGUCCGGAAUUACUGGGCGUAAAGAGCUCGUAGGCGGUUUGUCGCGUCGUCUGUGAAAUUCUGCAACUCAAUUGCAGGCGUGCAGGCGAUACGGGCAGACUUGAGUACUACAGGGGAGACUGGAAUUCCUGGUGUAGCGGUGAAAUGCGCAGAUAUCAGGAGGAACACCGGUGGCGAAGGCGGGUCUCUGGGUAGUAACUGA
rnacentral:rRNA from 1 species